UUGCACGCUGGCGGCAUGCUUUACCCCUGCCAGUCGAACGGUAACAGGCCUUCGGGUGCUGCCGAGUGGCGAACGGGUGAGUAAUGCAUCGGAACGUACCCAGAGGUGGGGGAUAACGCAGCGAAAGCUGUGCUAAUACCGCAUGUGAUCUGAGGAUGAAAGCGGGGGACCGAGCAGCAAUGUUUGGCCUCGCGCCUUUGGAGCGGCCGAUGUCGGAUUAGCUAGUUGGUGGGGUAAAGGCCUACCAAGGCGACGAUCCGUAGCUGGUCUGAGAGGACGACCAGCCACACUGGGACUGAGACACGGCCCAGACUCCUACGGGAGGCAGCAGUGGGGAAUUUUGGACAAUGGGCGCAAGCCUGAUCCAGCAAUGCCGCGUGCGGGAAGAAGGCCUUCGGGUUGUAAACCGCUUUUGGCAGGAACGAAACGGUGUCCGCUAAUACCGGGCGCUAAUGACGGUACCUGCAGAAUAAGCACCGGCUAACUACGUG
rnacentral:rRNA from 1 species